UUUUUGACCAUAAAAACACUAACAAAGCUAUUUACUGCGUCUAAGCAAAUGUUUGUUGGUUUAGCCUCUUUUGGGAUAAAAUAGGUAUAAGUGUUGUCUAAACACUUCUAAUCCAUCUCUAACUCUUAUAAUUU
rnacentral:sRNA from 1 species